UACGAAGGGGGCUAGCGUUGUUCGGAAUUACUGGGCGUAAAGCGCACGUAGGCGGCGCAGCAAGUUGGGGGUGAAAUCCCGAGGCUCAACCUCGGAAUUGCCUUCAAAACUGCUGUGCUCGAGUUCGGAAGAGGUGAGUGGAAUUCCCAGUGUAGAGGUGAAAUUCGUAGAUAUUAGGAAGAACACCGGUGGCGAAGGCGGCCCACUGGUCCGGUACUGACGCUGAGGUGCGAAAGCGUGGGGAGCAAACAGG
rnacentral:rRNA from 1 species